GAUUCUGUCUAAGUAGCACCACGUGGUUUUUAGUCUGUUUGCUCCUACCAGCUCUUGUGCUGCUGACAGAAGCCACUGCGAAGUUUCGGUCUGCCGUUGGCCCUGUUUGUGUAUCUGGAAGCCUCCGCAGUCUGUCUUUAGGAGAGGUACAGUUGUGUGCUUUCGUUCUUUGGAGCCCCUUAACCCAGUCUAGCACCCUAUAUUAGACUGAUAGCGAGUGUCCUUGAAGUGUGCUCAUGAAGCUACGUACGUGUUGGUAAUCCAAAUGGAACAUGAGGAGUUCCUGAGUAUAGGGAUGAGUCUCAGUUAGACUCCUCAUGUUUUUUACCAUAAGGGUAACCACCCGUUCUAUAGCAGGCUGGUAGCACAGAAGAAACACCUUGAUAGGCUGACCCUGUCUCUACUAGAAUUAAAUUACUUAGCAGUGGUGAAUAAAAUUUGUCCACCAUGUGUUCGUGGGUCCAGUCCCCAACAACUGCAAGUUCUUCAGGAAUUGCUCUCAAAAGCCAUGAGUUUAAUGUGAAUAAAGGAGAGUGUAAAGUCUUUUUGUCAGGUUUCCUGUUCAUUUCUAUUCAACAAGACUAAUGAGCCUCGAAGUUUCAUAAAGGCAAUAUAAUCUUCUUGUGGAGAAACUAAGAUUCCUUGGGAUUAAUAACUCAAUGGUUACAGAAAUGUAAAUUCAUCCUAGUAUUAUUCUCAACUUUUUGUAUCAGUCUAAAGGACUGAUACUCAGCUUCAGGCAUAUGAUUUCUUAAGGUUUUACAGAUAAACUUCUUUAAUUAUGGUAUCUGUAUGAUAAUAUUUUCUUACAAAGUAGUGGUAGAACAUAAUCUUGUGAAACUUUUGUCAAAUAAGAUUCUCUACAGUGCACAAUGACCAAAUGUAAAACUAACAUUUUUCCCCACUGACAUACUCAGGCAGAUUGGCGUGUCAGACUGACACAAGAAAACUCAUAUUUUACUUGUUUUGUAGGUUCUUGUGUCCCAGCAGAGUGUUGUUCUUUUUGAAUAGCAGAGCAGAUAUUUGCCAGAAUAGGUAUGGAUGAUGGUAGAGAAACAAAUGCAUCAAUAUUCGCGAAGGAAAUGAAAGAGGUAUUAAACAUGGCUAAGCCAGGGUCCAAGGCCCGUUUUUACUGUUAGGCUAAUAAGAAUUGUACUAGUAUAUUUCCCCUGAAAGAAUGUACUUUGAAAAGUAGUCAGAAAUUCAGCUUUCAUCUGUUACCUUUAUGAUAAACCAUGGAAACCUAGGACAUAUCUUAAAUAACAAGAUAUACCAAUACAAGUACAAAUCAGUGCUCUGUUGGAGAGUGGGUUCAACAUUUUGUUAUUUCUUGGACUUCAAAUGAGCCUAAGCUUCCCCAGUUCCCUUUCCCAAACUGAUACAGUUUUAAGGGAAAGUGGAGGAAUGCUGUAAGAGGAGUCUUUGACUAGAAUUGGCAGCUGUUGGAAAGCUGUGAAAAGGUAAAAUUUAUGGCUGUGACACAAUUUUUAAGAAUUUCUGUAUUAAGUUUCAUCCACAUAAGGCAGAGUAUUCCUCGAGCAUCCCUCUGAGCAGCCCUGUUCCUAAUGGGGUUCUUAAAAAAUGCAUUUGUAGGGAUGGAAACACAGGAAAUACUUUCCUAAAUAACAUACAUCGUACAAAACGCUAAUGACAAAUCACUCGUCAUAAUUGACGAACUUGGCAGAGGUACCAGCGCUGAAGAAGGAAUUGGCGUUUGUUACGCUGCUCGCGAGUAUCUGCUGAAUUUAAAAACAUUUACAUUAUUUGCUACGCAUUUCCUGGAACUGUGUCAUAUAGCUGCCUUAUAUCCCAGUGUGGAAAACUACCAAUUUGCAGUGCAACAUGUGAGAAGCAAUGCUGGAAAUAAGGAGAAAAUUGCUUACACUCAUGCACUCUCUAAAGGCUAUACAGAGGAAAAGAACUAUGGUAAUGGAUUCCACUCUGAUGUUAACUUAGUAAACGUUAUAUAGGACAUUAUUUCAGUUAGUAGGCAUCUAACAAGAUUUUUCUGCUGACAUUUCUCCCGAGUUAGUAUCUCUCUCAGAGUUAAAACUGCAGGUCUGUAAUUCGUUCCUAAUGCUUGUGUUUUAACUGUGUAGUGAGAUAGUAGUUUGGGGUAGUAAGAAGAACUUGGAUGAAAUUUUCCCUGCCCGUGGGAGGGGGUUGGAACUAGAUCAUCUUUAACGUCCUUUCCAACCCAAACCAGUCUGUGGUUCUAUGAAAAAACCCCCCAUUUUAAUAAUGUGAGUAGCUGCUUGAUUCACCUCUGAAUGAGAUGAGCCAAACUCAGCACACAGUACUCGAGUCGAUGAUGGAAGUGAAAGUUCUGGAGAGACUUACAGCUGUGAAUGCUGAGCUUUAUGUAAAACUCUCUUACGUGUCUGCCAUAAGUAAUGAUAUAUAUAAAUAGCAGCUUGGCCCUUUUCGAUUAGCAAAAAGGCAUCGAGUUUCUUUGAAAAAUGGCAGGAAUUUUACAGUGUAUCAGCCUAAGGCUGUUUUGAGACGUUUCACCGAAGCGUUGGUGUUCUCAGGAAGGUGCGUUUACUUCUCUUUUAACUUCAGAAUAAAUCAUGAAGACUCUACAGAUUGACCAAUUAUGGGUCAAUAAAGAAAUGAGUGAGUGACAGUUAAGGCAUAGCUACAUUUUUAAGUUACAGAGAUGCGUACCUUUCCCAAUACUAGAUUCCGAAGUUUGAUUUGGGUGACAUUUAAUCAAUAGGAAAUGAGCUACACAUGACUUUUGCAAACUAGCAGCGACUGAAGACUAGGAAUUAUUCCUGUCAGGCUUCAAUUAACUGGCCUUAAAAUGUUUAGAAAUGAAGUAACAGGAAAUCAAUAGAAAGUUGAAUAUCCUUCCUCCUUGGGGUUUUGGGUUCUUUUUAGUACAACUUCACUGAGCGGCUGCAACCACGUAUUCCAGUGUGAACGAACGUGUCUGUCUUCCUUCCACCCAACUUUGGCCAGGAGUUCUUACGUUUCAUUUAGGUGCAUGUGCAUAUACAUAAUUUGUUAUGCAUUUAUCUAUUAAACGGGUAAUAUAGAACAGUGCAGUAUGUAAUUUGUAACAACAAAUAUAUAUAUUUAUGAUAUACAUUGCCGUUUAAUGUAUCUAUCUUUGUAAACAUAGCAGUGCAACAGAAUAACAUCGGUAGUCGGCGCACUGUGUUUUUUUCUGAAGAGGAUUUUCGAUUGAUUUAAGCUAUUAACCGCAGUUCACCUCUCUUCAGGCCUUUGUUGGCAAGUCUCUCACUCAUUACCUCCGUCCAUAAAUACCAUAUUUAUUGUCUAGCCCAGUGAGGACCAUGGCAGAAAGAAGUAUUUUGUGUUCAGGUUUCUUGGCACAACGAACCAGAUCGGAAGUGAUACGUAUUUCAGACAUUGGCUGGGCAGGGUGCACAUCUCCCUGUUGGGGUCAGCCAGCGCAGCACCAGGAAGAACAGUUCUGGGGUGCGUGCCUGGAAGCCUGGCAUAGUUUGACCCCAUCAGAACUGUUCCCCUCUUCUCCGCACCUUAUUUCAGAGCCUUCGGCUUGCUUCCAGCCCAUCGGGACUCUGCGUUUACAUACUCUGCGCACUGCUCUCUCAAAACAGAUUUUAAGUAAGGA